UACGGAGGGGGCUAGCGUUGUUCGGAAUUACUGGGCGUAAAGCGCACGUAGGCGGCUUUGUAAGUUAGAGGUGAAAGCCCGGGGCUCAACUCCGGAAUCGCCUUUAAGACUGCAUCGCUAGAAUUGUGGAGAGGUAAGUGGAAUUCCGAGUGUAGAGGUGAAAUUCGUAGAUAUUCGGAAGAACACCAGUGGCGAAGGCGACUUACUGGACACAUAUUGACGCUGAGGUGCGAAAGCGUGGGGAGCAAACAGG
rnacentral:rRNA from 1 species